GGAUGCGAUCAUACCAGCACUAAAGCACCGGAUCCCAUCAGAACUCUGUAGUUAAGCGUGAUUGGGCGAGAGUAGUACUAGGAUGGGUGACCUCCUGGGAAGUCCUCGUGUUGCAUUCC
rnacentral:rRNA from 1 species